AUACGGAGGAUGCAAGCGUUAUCCGGAUUUAUUGGGUUUAAAGGGUGCGUAGGCGGGACUGUAAGUCAGGGGUGAAAUACUGCAGCUUAACUGUAGCAUUGCCUUUGAAACUGCCGUUCUUGAGUACAGUUGAGGUAGGCGGAAUGUGGUGUGUAGCGGUGAAAUGCAUAGAUAUACCACAGAACGCCGAUUGCGAAGGCAGCUUACUAAGCUGUUACUGACGCUGAGGCACGAAAGCGUGGGGAUCAAACAGGAUUAGAUACCCUGGUAGUCCACGCUGUAAACGAUGAUUACUGGUCGUUAGCGAUAUAUAGCUAGUGACUGAGCGAAAGCAUUAAGCAAUCCACCUGGGGAGUACGUCGGCAACGAUGAAACUCAAAGGAAUUGACGGGG
rnacentral:rRNA from 1 species